rnacentral:ncRNA from 1 species
CACGAUAAUGGCAAACCUGUCGAAAGACUGGGACGCAAAGCUAAAGGGCCUUACCUCUUAGAGGUUGGCAGCCAGCCACCGAAU